rnacentral:tRNA from 1 species
GGAGAGGUGGCUGAGUGGUUUAAGGUAAUGACUUGCUAAGUCAUCGUACAAGAAGUUUUGUACCAUGGGUUCGAAUCCCAUCUUCUCCA